CAAUAGCGUAUAUUAAAGUUGUUGCAGUUAAGAAGCUCGUAGUUGAAUUUUUGCUUGCCGCCGAUGUCGGAACUUCCGUACGUUCGGCGGCGUGCAUCCUUGGGUGGAACCUGUGUGGCAUUAGGUUGUCGUGCAGGGGAUGCUCAUCGUUUACUGUGAAAAAAUUAGAGUGUUCAAAGCAGGCUUACGCCGUUGAAUAUAUUAGCAUGGAAUAAUAAGAUAGGACCUUGGUACUAUUUUGUUGGUUUGCGCACCGAGGUAAUGAUUAACAGGGACAGUUGGGGGUAUUCGUAUUCCAUUGUCAGAGGUGAAAUUCUUGGAUUUCUGGAAGACGAACUACUGCGAAAGCAUUUACCAAGGAUGUUUUCAUUAA
rnacentral:rRNA from 1 species